rnacentral:rRNA from 1 species
AUUGAACGCUGGCGGCAUGCCUUACACAUGCAAGUCGAACGGCAGCACGGGUGCUUGCACCUGGUGGCGAGUGGCGAACGGGUGAGUAAUACAUCGGAACGUACCUUAUCGUGGGGGAUAACGCAGCGAAAGUUGCGCUAAUACCGCAUAAGCCCUGAGGGGGAAAGCGGGGGAUCGUAAGGCCUCGCGCGAUUAGAGCGGCCGAUGACUGAUUAGCUUGUUGGUGAGGUAAAAGCUCACCAAGGGGAUGAUCAGUAGCUGGUCUGAGAGGACGAUCAGCCACACUGGGACUGAGACACGGCCCAGACUCCUACGGGAGGCAGAAGUGGGGAAUUUUGGACAAUGGGGGCAACCCUGAUCCAGCAAUGCCGCGUGAGUGAAGAAGGCCUUCGGGUUGUAAAGCUCUUUUGUCAGGGGAGAAACAGCAGCUCUAACACAGUCUGCGAAUGACGGUACCUGAAGAAUAAGCACCGGCUAACUACGUGCCAGCAGCCGCCGUAA